GCUCGUGUAACUCAGUGGAUAGAGUGUCUGUUUCCUAAGCAGAACGUCAGAGGUUCGAACCCUCUCUCGAGCG
rfam:Coccomyxa subellipsoidea C-169, whole genome shotgun sequence.